rnacentral:hammerhead_ribozyme from 1 species
AUCCACAUGAUGAAUCUCACAUAGGACGAAACGCGCGUCCUGGAU